GUAGGUGAACCUGCGGAAGGAUCAUUAUUGGUUGGAUAUAUUAUAGCCCCUCGGGGGCGUAGGGUUAGGAUUAGAGGUUGAUGCUGGCAGUCAUGGCUGUAGAGUGCUCGCCCUUAUCCCUCCAUUUGUUCGUCUAUAAUACACCUGUGCACCUUGGUCCAAUCGAAGGGGGAAGUUGACCUCCCUUUGAUACAGUGACCAUUUCGACGGGAGAAGUCAACCUCCCUUAGAAAAAAUUAACACACCCUUGAUCUAAACCAUGAACGUUCUCUAUAUGCCGUCAGGCGAUAUAUAACACAACUUUUAACAACGGAUCUCUAGGCUCUC
rnacentral:misc_RNA from 1 species